CAUAGGUUUUUUUUUUAAUUUUUAAUUUUUGUUGCUUUUUCUUGUCCCUUGGUGUGUUUGAACUUGUAGAAACACAAGUGAUUGGUUAGAAGCAUGUACAUAGGUUGUGUGAGGCCUUGAAAAUAGGUCUAGUAGUUUCGAGUAAGUUUACCGAGUUCUGAGUAAAAAUUAAGAGUUAAUCGAGUUUAUUAGUGUUUUGUUUUUU
rnacentral:lncRNA from 1 species